GAGCUGGUUUCCUGAUGGGGGGUGGGGCUGCUUUGGAGGCAUCCGGGUCUUUUAAGGAUCUCAGAUGUAUUGGGCAAGCUCAGAGGGGAACCUUUCUACAAACAAUUAGCAUCUGCACUCUCAGAUUGUGGGAGAGACUUACCGUACAUCUGCAUUUCAGAGAGCAGAAGAUUGUGAACCAAGAUGGCUCUGGGAAGGCCCUUCAGUUUGCAGCUGCAGCAAGGAUACGAUCCACUGGAAAUGCUGACCUGAAUUAUUGGAGAGGCUGUUUCUGUGGGGUGCAGUGCGUACCCUAAGCAUCCGUAGCUUCUUCUGGCUCUUCCUCCAGGGAAAAGGCCUGGAACCUAGGCUAUGUAAUCAGCUGCCAGCAAUAAGAAUAUUUUGAAUAUUAUUGGAGGGCCUGUUUCUCUGGAUUGGCAUCUCUUUCUUCUUCCAGUUUAUUUGAAGUCAUAAGCCUGAUGUACACUUAUCAGAAAUACACACAUUUUUAAGUCCUUUCA